UACGUAGGGUGCGAGCGUUACUCGGAAUUACUGGGCGUAAAGCGUGCGCAGGCGGCUUUGCAAGACAGAUGUGAAAUCCCCGGGCUCAACCUGGGAACUGCUUUCAAAACUGCUGAGCUAGAGUACGGCAGAGGGGGAUGGAAUUCCGCGUGUAGCAGUGAAAUGCGUAGAUAUGCGGAGGAACACCAAUGGCGAAGGCAAUCCCCUGGGCCUGUACUGACGCUCAUGCACGAAAGCGUGGGGAGCAAACAGG
rnacentral:rRNA from 1 species